GAUGAACGCUGGCGGCGUGCCUAAUACAUGCAAGUCGAGCGAACGGACGAGAAGCUUGCUUCUCUGAUGUUAGCGGCGGACGGGUGAGUAACACGUGGAUAACCUACCUAUAAGACUGGGAUAACUUCGGGAAACCGGAGCUAAUACCGGAUAAUAUUUUGAACCGCAUGGUUCAAAAGUGAAAGACGGUCUUGCUGUCACUUAUAGAUGGAUCCGCGCUGCAUUAGCUAGUUGGUAAGGUAACGGCUUACCAAGGCAACGAUGCAUAGCCGACCUGAGAGGGUGAUCGGCCACACUGGAACUGAGACACGGUCCAGACUCCUACGGGAGGCAGCAGUAGGGAAUCUUCCGCAAUGGGCGAAAGCCUGACGGAGCAACGCCGCGUGAGUGGUGAAGGUCUUCGGAUCGUAAAACUCUGUUAUUAGGGAAGAACAUAUGUGUAAGUAACUGUGCACAUCUUGACGGUACCUAAUCAGAAAGCCACGGCUAACUACGUGCCAGCAGCCGCGGUAAUACGUAGGUGGCAAGCGUUAUCCGGAAUUAUUGGGCGUAAAGCGCGCGUAGGCGGUUUUUUAAGUCUGAUGUGAAAGCCCACGGCUCAACCGUGGAGGGUCAUUGGAAACUGGAAAACUUGAGUGCAGAAGAGGAAAGUGGAAUUCCAUGUGUAGCGGUGAAAUGCGCAGAGAUAUGGAGGAACACCAGUGGCGAAGGCGACUUUCUGGUCUGUAACUGACGCUGAUGUGCGAAAGCGUGGGGAUCAAACAGGAUUAGAUACCCUGGUAGUCCACGCCGUAAACGAUGAGUGCUAAGUGUUAGGGGGUUUCCGCCCCUUAGUGCUGCAGCUAACGCAUUAAGCACUCCGCCUGGGGAGUACGACCGCAAGGUUGAAACUCAAAGGAAUUGACGGGGACCCGCACAAGCGGUGGAGCAUGUGGUUUAAUUCGAAGCAACGCGAAGAACCUUACCAAAUCUUGACAUCCUUUGACAACUCUAGAGAUAGAGCUUUCCCCUUCGGGGGACAAAGUGACAGGUGGUGCAUGGUUGUCGUCAGCUCGUGUCGUGAGAUGUUGGGUUAAGUCCCGCAACGAGCGCAACCCUUAAGCUUAGUUGCCAUCAUUAAGUUGGGCACUCUAAGUUGACUGCCGGUGACAAACCGGAGGAAGGUGGGGAUGGCGUCAAAUCAUCAUGCCCCUUAUGAUUUGGGCUACACACGUGCUACAAUGGACAAUACAAAGGGCAGCGAAACCGCGAGGUCAAGCAAAUCCCAUAAAGUUGUUCUCAGUUCGGAUUGUAGUCUGCAACUCGACAACAUGAAGCUGGAAUCGCUAGUAAUCGUAGAUCAGCAUGCUACGGUGAAUACGUUCCCGGGUCU
rnacentral:rRNA from 1 species